CAUAGCAGUCUGAGGACCACCCACCACUGAAGCUAAGGAAGUUCAAACCUGGUUGGGAUUUGGAUGGGAGACCACCUGGAGGAACUGGGGGCUGAUAGCU
rnacentral:rRNA from 1 species